UCUAAGUAAGAAACGUGUAGACUUGAACAUACUUUAAUCAUAAUAUCAUACUCUCUUAUGUAUCUAACAUGAAUCUUCGCCAAAAUGUAAUUUGGAACAUUUUAUUAUCAUUCUUUGUGCUGAUUACCACUUCCCUUUUGUGGAAUCCUUCUUGAGCUUAAUGUCAAAUUGUUUUACAUUGUCAGUGGUAAGAUACAUAUACAAGAGUUAGAACACAAGAUGAUGCUGGACUUGUUCUCAGCUAUGCUACGUGGACUCUAGUAAGCAUGUUGGGUACAAAUAUGUGUCUAAGGGUCAGAUUCAUCUAAUUCUCAUGUCAAAGACACCGGGGCACAACAAUAUUUUAUGUUUUUGAUUUAUUUAUUUUUAAUGUUUUAAUGGUAAAAUGAUGUUUGAAAACUAAAAUAUAUGAUUUUAUGUAUAAAACAGAAAUCUUAUGCAUAUUUAUAUAAUAAACUCGACCACUUAUAUGUACUUGUUGUGCAUCUUCAACUAUGCAUAUCGGACACAUUCAACAUGGGUACUUCACAAAUUUAGAAGAGUCCAUGGAACAUAGGUACUCAAGAUUUUUAAUCUUAUCAAGGCUAUCUAUGAUUUGCUUGAAAAAUCCUUGGGUUAUUUGGAACUUGGGGAGGAUCUGGAGCAACAAAUAGUUGUUGAACUUAUAUGCAUCAAGGAAAUGGCUAAUACCGAGAUUCAGUUUGAAAAUUGCAAUGAAGGAAAGUCAGUUACAAUGGACGGGAAUGCACACAAACCUCUGAAACUUGAUCAUGGCUUUCGAACUUGAUGGAGAAGCAGAUCUUGGAGCUCACUACCAAGCAAGGGACAACAACAGAAGACUGGACCAUGGGCACCCAUUUCAAGAGGUGAUUACUAAAUAUGGGUUGUGGAAGAUUUACAUUAUGAAAUUAUCCUUGCAUUGAGCUAUCCUUUGGUAGAUCAUCUUCCAUCUUCUAACAAAAUCAAGAAUUUGGGUUCUAGAUCAUUUUCCAAGGGACACUGAGAAGUAGAGGAAUGUAGUGAUAUUGUUUGUGUUUGAUAGCUUGAUAUAUAUAUAUAUAUAUUGUUAGGCCAAUUUCCUACUAGUUAAUUUUUUGGGUCAAUUGAUGACUUAAUAUGAUAUCAGAGGGAGGUUUUAGAUACAAGUCUCACCAGUUGCAUUGGUUGCUGCAUACAUUAUUUCUUCUCUCUAUGUAUGAAUGCUGGAUAGCUUGAUAUACAUUGCUCCAUCAAUUUCCUAGCAGUUUAAGAUACGUUUUUUGUGUAGCUUCUUCAUUUUUGGUCGUUGGUUUACAAACUUCGUUUGGAAAUUCAAUACCGAACAAUUUACAUUUAUUUUUCUAAACAAAUUUCACUCAUUUGGCAUUGUGUUUCCAAUUAU